rnacentral:rRNA from 1 species
GUCCCAGACUCCUACGGGAGGCAGCAGUCGGGAAUAUUGCACAAUGGAGGAAACUCUGAUGCAGUGACGCCGCGUGCAGGAAGAAGGUUUUCGGAUUGUAAACUGCUUUAGACAGGGAAGAAACAAGACAGUACCUGUAGAAUAAGCUCCAGCUAACUACGUGCCAGCAGUCGCGGUAAUACGUAGGGAGCAAGCGUUAUCCGGAUUUAUUGGGUGUAAAGGGUGCGUAGACGGGAAUUUAAGUUAGUUGUGAAAUCCCUCGGCUUAACUGAGGAACUGCAACUAAAACUGAAUUUCUUGAGUGCGGGAGAGGAAAGUGGAAUUCCUAGUGUAGCGGUGAAAUGCGUAGAUAUUAGGAGGAACACCAGUGGCGAAGGCGACUUUCUGGACCGUAACUGACGUUGAGGCACGAAAGUGUGGGGAGCAAACAGGAUUAGAUACCCCUGUA